UUAUUGCUGGCUCAAGAUGCAUAUUAAUGCUUCUCCCCAGGAGAGAAAGGCUCUUAUGGGACCAAUAUAGGUCAGGCAGAAUGUGCAGCAGAAGUGACAUAAUCUUUUUAUUGUAAUCAUCCAAUUUUCUAUCUAUUGGAUUAUUUAAGAGCAAGAGCUUCUAUUCAGAGUAGUGUUAGGAGGGAAGAGGGAGCACAGUCUGAGGAGGAGGAGAAUGGAGAGUAAGAAUUCCCCACCAAUGGCUAAACCUCAGAAAUCUGAACGAGGAGCUGCUUCCAUGGGGUUUGUGUGGACAAAAGAAUGAGGGUGAGUUUUUGCAGGAUGUGGAACCCCUGGAAGUGCUGAGCAGAGCCCUCCUGCCAGAGGGACACAUGAAGGAAUGGGAGAUUCCUGAAUAUAUUUUGCCCAUCACUCCAUGCCCAGUGGUGCCUCUUGCACUGGUGGCAGAUCAGGAAACAAAGGUUCUUCCUCAGAAAUUAGGAACUUCAUUAUCCUAAACUGUUUGAAUACAUGUUCUCAGCAGUGUGGUGAAAAAGAAGCUUUAAAUAUAUUGUGUAAAAAGAUGACAUAAUUGGGAACGCAGCCACAUCAUUUUGAAGACCAAAUAAAAACCCUGCUGGAAAGCUUGCACUG